UAUAUUUAAUAUAUUUUGCAUGGAAUAAUUUUGUUCUAUUGUGCCUGUAGUACAUCAGGGAGUCUGGCUAAUCUCAGUGGAUCUCAAGGACACAUAUUUCCACAUCAGAAAGGUUCCUCAGGUUUUGUCUAUGCAAUCAUCAUUUCCAGUUUCAAGCUCUACCCUUUUGGGAUCAGCACAUCUUCAGGUACUUGUCACCAUAAUAACCUUAUCAGGGAAGACGGUGUGGCCAUUUCUCACUACCUGGACAAUAUCCUAGUGGUUACUCGAGAUGAAAAAAAAUGAUGCUUCAACACUGAUCCCUGGUCCUUCAGACACUGUCUCACUUUAUGUGGGUGAUCUACCAUGAGAAGUCAGUUACAGCCUUCCAGAAAAUUGAUCUUCCUUGGAGCCAAUUUCAAUACCACUACAGCUAUGGUUACUUUUGCUCAAGAAAGGAAACUCCUCUUUUUAGAUUGUCUAAGGAAGUUACGAUCCAGGACUUCGGCCCAGCGUGGUAUUUCAU